rnacentral:hammerhead_ribozyme from 1 species
GCUGAGGAGUCCUACAAUAGGACGAAACGGCCGUCC